CUUGCUUCUCUUGAGAGCGGCGGACGGGUGAGUAAUGCCUAGGAAUCUGCCUGGUAGUGGGGGAUAACGUUCGGAAACGGACGCUAAUACCGCAUACGUCCUACGGGAGAAAGCAGGGGACCUUCGGGCCUUGCGCUAUCAGAUGAGCCUAGGUCGGAUUAGCUAGUUGGUGGGGUAAUGGCUCACCAAGGCGACGAUCCGUAACUGGUCUGAGAGGAUGAUCAGUCACACUGGAACUGAGACACGGUCCAGACUCCUACGGGAGGCAGCAGUGGGGAAUAUUGGACAAUGGGCGAAAGCCUGAUCCAGCCAUGCCGCGUGUGUGAAGAAGGUCUUCGGAUUGUAAAGCACUUUAAGUUGGGAGGAAGGGUUGUAGAUUAAUACUCUGCAAUUUUGACGUUACCGACAGAAUAAGCACCGGCUAACUCUGUGCCAGCAGCCGCGGUAAUACAGAGGGUGCAAGCGUUAAUCGGAAUUACUGGGCGUAAAGCGCGCGUAGGUGGUUUGUUAAGUUGGAUGUGAAAUCCCCGGGCUCAACCUGGGAACUGCAUUCAAAACUGACUGACUAGAGUAUGGUAGAGGGUGGUGGAAUUUCCUGUGUAGCGGUGAAAUGCGUAGAUAUAGGAAGGAACACCAGUGGCGAAAGCGACCACCUGGACUAAUACUGACACUGA
rnacentral:rRNA from 1 species